UCCACCUGGAAGGGAAUCAACACGGGGUCUCUUGUGAAUGAGUGGCCCAAAGACCUUUGCCUAUCCCUGUAAAUCACAAGUUAGCUCACACCGUUGGUUAAUGGGAACAUUCCUCCUGCCAGAACUAUGAUUUUCUUCACAAACAUGACUCAUGUCAAUGCACAAGGAACAAAGAAGGCAAUCCAACUGCAUGGUACGGUUUCAAGGGAGCACAGCGUUAAACAUUUGUGAGGUGCUGGAUCUGGCGGGACAGGCCAGUAAUCCCAGCUACUGUGGAGACGGAGGAUGGCAAGUUCAAGAUCAGCCCCAUCAACUUAAUGGAGACUCCAAAUAAACGCUUGCUGGUGUUACUGUUCCUGAUUGUCAGUCCUCCUGGAGACAGAAGGAUCAGGACUGGAAUGCCAUCCCUUGCUAAAUACAGAGUUCAAGGCCAGCCUGAGCUACAUGAGACCCUGACUCCAGAAAGCAAACCACAACAAAACAGAGAUGGGGACUAUAGCUCAAAUGUAGCGAGGGGCUUGUCCAGAUUUAGCAUGUGUGAAGCUUCACAUUCAAACCCGGUUUGUGGAUCAACAUCUUCCUUGACCUAUUAGAAAUGCCAUUUACAAAAUCCAGGCUCGUCAUUACCGUGAUAUAUGCUAGCACCUCAAGAUAAUUGCCACCCGGGUUUGUAAGUGCAAUCCCCAGAAGCUAGGCUCGGUCGUCCCCAUCCCGAAAGGCCCUUUAUGUCGGCUCUAGUGGCUUUUAUACUUAGAGUGUGAUGAAUGCCAUGUGGCAGACAAUGAUUUUUUUUUAUUGGUACAUAUGCCAUUUAAGUGAUUAAAUCUCCAAGAGAGUUUGGGUGGGGAAAACAUCAUAAAGGGUUAUACUCGCAAAUGUGAUUGACAAAUGGUCUCCAGUCUACCGGCCAAAUACAAAAAGCCAAGGAACUGAGUGAUCCCAGCCAGACAGUCCCAUCCACCCAGCCCCGGAGGAAACAGCAAGGGCAUUUAAGGGCCUUGACACGCAAGCAGCUCACUGAGUGUUCCACUUGGGCUCAGGCUUCCAGGCCUUGAAGCUCUCUCUGGGGCCAGGUAGCGAGCCAAGCCCUCUGAAGGAGGCCAGUGGAAAGGCCUGGACGUGCUGGCGGGAGAGCCAAGUUCUUUUCUGCAUGUGUUAUGUGAACAGAUGUGAGGGAGGAAGUAGGUCAAGCUGUGGGUGUAGUGAUCCCAACGGGCUGCACCCCUUAAUUAUACGGAAACAUUGGAGCCUUGCAGCUCUCCAGCAGCUGAACAGCAGAGAGGGGGAAACAUACAAAGUUCCCUGGGACAGGAGGAGAGCACUAUACAUUCCAGCUGCGACAAAGGUGCCAACGAGUGGUCAAGUGUCAGGGAGAAAGAGAGAGGGAAGGCGGUAAAAACGGCACCUGCUUCUGGAAGACUCUAAAAGUGGCUACCCCUUUCUAACUGGAUGGGUGGUUGUUGCAGAAGAAUUCUGCUGGGAAAUCCCACUUAAGAGCAAACUCCAGUUUGUGUGCAGUGAGUGGCAGAUACGGAAGGACAGGUGAAGAGGGAAAAAUCCAUACAAUGCCCAAACCCAGAAAUGUUUGUUUCAGGACCUUUGGGGAGAGUUUAAGGCAAGGUCCAGGCUCAGACUGGAUUUAGUCAAACCACAGACAAUACACAAACAUGAGGGCUGCUUCCUGAUUUCUCCUCCAGAUGCCUACCAGGUAAGGAGACACUUAUGUUUCCCCCAAGUAAAUACAGUUACUUCUAAAGAUUGUGCCAUGUUCCCAGGAAGAAGCAACUGGGCUAAGACUGGAGGCCAGCUUGGCGGCAGAGGUAGGCCUGCAGCAAAUGAACAAGGCCAUGUCACCUCCUCCAGGUAGCACAGAUCCGUGAAAAGUCUAAGCAACGCAGUCCCAAAGUGCUCCAUGGGGGCCUGGUGGGCUUUGCCCAGUGCUCUAAGGACCUGCUGCCACUCAUUGGCAGUCCAAACAUCUUCUGGAGUGUUUUUAGGGUGCUCAUCAGCAGCUUAAACACCCCUGUCACAAUCGGGCCUGGCCCUGUCGGGGACGCACAUGUUUGUGACAUGUGCAGCCUUAGGCUGGUAAAGCAGCUCCCGGUAAGGAACUUUGAGCGGAACAGGGAAAUGCCUCCGAAGAGGCUGUGUCAGCCUUUGUGAGCAGGCCUGUGCAGGCGGGCUUUACUGUCCGCGUCUGAGAGGCAGCCCAGAAGCGCAGCCUCGGCUCCCUGAAUGCACCAUGCUUCUCCUACCAUGAUCAACGGGAACAGCUUCGCUAUCGCAGGAGCAGAGAGCCAGUAAGACCUGCCAUUGAGUGAGGAAAACUUAUAUAUUCAGCACAGAGAAAACACUGGCCAGACAGGUAUUAAAACAUCCAAAUAGAAACCGACGUUAUAUUCAAAUAGAAACAGAAUUACUACAUCAACGGACAUUCACAUGCAACCUCAGAACUAAAGCCAGCUCUUAAGGAUCCCCUUCCAAUUGAAGGUCCUCAAUGCCCCUUUUGAAUAGCAACUCGAGAUUGUUUCCUGGAAGAACAAAGCAGCCCUGAGGCUUUGAAGGGAUAUUAAGAGCCUUGAUUGCCCGGUAGCUUUGCAAGAUGGAUGCAUGGUGUAUCAGAUUUGCAUGAGAACUCCACUGCAUUACAGACUCUGGUCCUCUAUGGAAGAGAGGCUUAUGCUGAGAACAUAUUGGUUAUAUAUGGCAACGUAAGCUCAUAAUUAAAGCUGUACCACACCUUCA